rnacentral:rRNA from 1 species
UACGGAGGGGGCGAGCGUUAUUCGGAAUUAUUGGGCGUAAAGGGCGCGUAGGCGGCUUGACAAGUCAAAGGUGAAAUCCCUCGGCUCAACUGAGGAACUGCCUUUGAAACUGUCUGGCUUGAGGCCGGGAGGGGGUAGCGGAAUUCCCAGUGUAGCGGUGAAAUGCGUAGAUAUCAGGAGGAAUACCGGUGGCGAAAGCGACUCUCUGGACGGCAACUGACGCUGAGGCGCGAAAGCUAGGGGAGCAAACAGG